rnacentral:rRNA from 1 species
UACGGGGGAUGCAAGCGUUAUCCGGAUUUAUUGGGUUUAAAGGGUGCGUAGGCUGUAAGGCAAGUCAGAUGUGAAAACCCAGGGCUCAACCCUGGGACUGCAUUUGAAACUGCCAUACUGGAGUGCCGGAGAGGUAAGUGGAAUUCCUAGUGUAGCGGUGAAAUGCGUAGAUAUUAGGAGGAACACCAGUGGCGAAGGCGGCUUACUGGACGGUAACUGACGCUGAGGCUCGAAAGCGUGGGGAGCAAAUAGG